CCCAUCCAAUCUUAAAUCAAACACUAAUCAAUUCAAAUGAGAAACCCUAGCUUCAUUUUACAUAUUCAGCCGUCAACAACACUCCCACUCUAUUUUCUCUAAAUCGGAACCCUAAUACCUUAUAAUUGAGGAAAGACAGUGGAUAUGACAAUGAAGGUCGAAUGUGAUAUCGUGAAUGUGGGUGUGCAUGGAAGGUGGCUGUUGAUGGUGGGUAAGAGCUGCGGAAAGAUGGAGGAAGCACCGGACACCGGAGUUUUGAGGAGGCGAUUCUGAUUCCAGGCGUUCUGUGUGACGUUGUGGGUUUGAAAUUCUGGUCGGCAAGGCCGGAUGGUGGUCAAUGAGUAGGCCACAACAUCUUAAUCAGCAAGUUCGUGCGCUAAGUUCGUGUGCUGGAGAUAGCAAUAGAAGUACCAACACUUGCCAUUAUUAAUCUUAAAGAUACUUCAAAUGAGCAGGACAACAAAGUUGGAUCAACAGUUGUGCCUUGCUACCGCUGCUCAAGUAACAGUUGCAAACCCACCCAGUAUGGAUUUGGACCUACUUGUAGACACUACUUUCUAGAGAAGCGACCCCCAAGGUAUAUCUAGAGGUUUUUGUCAAAGGAUCAAUUAAAUGCUGCCGGAGCUUUUUUACAUGGGCUAGAGGAUGAAUAUUAUAAGGUAUUACUGAUGCACUGCAUUUGCUAUAUUAAUUAUUAUCCAUAUACUUAGGAACGGGUCUAUUUGGGCUAUAUUUAAUCUAAAAUGGGAAAAUUUAAACACAUUAUUCAUAAAUGAAUCAAUUUAAAUGCGCCUAACUAGAUAUUAAUUUUCAUUUCUUUUACUGAUAUUUAAGUGAUGCAAGUCCUCUAUAAUUAACUUAUUUGAAUCGCCAUGCAUAUUUGUUUUGUUGAGGCGCUAUUUAUAUGAAAAUGAUGACCAGGUCAGUGGUACAUUUAGUCUUUUCAUUUCUCUAAAUAAAGGAAGUAACUAACAAACCGACCCAAGCCACGCUAGAAACUAACCAAUUGGCAUUAUGUCACAUGGCUACAACAUAUAUAAAUUUAAUUGUAGGUGAUGGUCCGUUGAUGGGCUAAAAGGCAUUAGAACUGGCCACCAGUUACAAGUUUACUCACUACCACAACACGAGCAAGGUGGCCACCAGUCCAUGAAUGCAAAUUUGCAGCACUUUGAAGUCCAAAAGCAGUGAGUAUACAUGGACUCGAAGAAGGCAGUCUAGAAACAACUGUUAGAUUUUGUGUACAUUUAUUCUCCUUUGCAACUUUUGUAGAUAGGUUUUGAUUAGAAGUUAUGUCUUUCAUUGGUAUUUAAACUGAAAAGUUAUGUAUGGAUUUUUGGUUAUUAUUGU
rnacentral:lncRNA from 1 species